rnacentral:rRNA from 1 species
UACGUAGGGACCAAGCGUUGUCCGGAAUCAUUGGGCGUAAAGAGCGUGUAGGCGGCUUGUUAAGUCUUGCGUGAAAUCUCGGGGCUCAACCCCGAGCGGUCGUGAGAAACUGGCAGGCUAGAGUGCGGGAGAGGAGAGUGGAAUUACUGGUGUAGCGGUGAAAUGCGCAGAUAUCAGGAAGAACACCCGUGGCGAAGGCGGCUCUCUGGAACGCAACUGACGCUGAGACGCGAAAGCGUGGGGAGCAAACAGG